UACGGGGGGAGCAAGCGUUGUUCGGAUUUACUGGGCGUAAAGGGCGCGUAGGCGGUCAGUGCAAGUCAGUUGUGAAAUCUCCGGGCUUAACUCGGAAAGGUCAACUGAUACUGCUCGACUAGAGUGCGGAAGGGGCAACUGGAAUUCUUGGUGUAGCGGUGAAAUGCGUAGAUAUCAGGAGGAACACCUGCGGCGAAGGCGGGUUGCUGGGCCGACACUGACGCUGAUGCGCGAAAGCUAGGGGAGCGAACGGG
rnacentral:rRNA from 1 species